rnacentral:lncRNA from 1 species
GGGGGCGGCAGGGGGUCUAUUUCAGGGCUGUUUCCCAGCUGGGCCGCCGCCCCCUCGGAGUCGUGCGCGGCGGGCUCACCUGCGCUGCCGGCAGGGAGGGGGUCUCUUUUGAUACCGCCCGGAUCCAGAGGGACCCGGCUGAACCCCGGACAAGAGGUGGCAGCACAGCCGCGACCUCCCAGGGGCCCGAGGACUGGGGACAGAGGGCACAGAGCCGAGAGCAGGGCCUGGCGGCCUCUCCAGGAAAAGAACUGUUUCCAAAUUUGGAAGUGCAGAUGGCAAGCCGUGUGUGGGUGAGAGAGGAACGUGGACUACAGACAAAGAGAAACUGCCUCUGGCCGUGCGCCUGGACCUGUAAGUCAGGGGCUGGGAUGUCGCUGCCCCGUGGCCUGAGUGGGAAGAAGGAUCCGCCCGUCAUGGAGGAGGAAGAAGAAAUGAGGCCGCUUCCUGAGGCCCGACUGUGUCCCCGCUCCUAACCACAGCUCCCCUUCGCACCAGCUGAAGGGGCUUCUGCUCCUUCCAGCCCACGGCCUCGAAGGGCAAACCGGGCAGCUGGGAGGAGCGACUCGGCAGGGCUGAAGUCCACGGUGGGCCUCGGGCUGCAGGCAGAGGGCAGGCACCCCAUGGGGGCAACAUGAAGAGCGUGGGCCUGGGAGCCAGGCCCAGGGACCUAACCGUGAAGCUCGGCCUCAGCCGUCACUUAACCUCUCUGAAAAGUAGCCGUCAGGCGUCGAUGACAGUCUCUCACUGGGCUGCCGUGAGGGUGGAGGGGAGGCUGAAGGUAACCGUAAUCCAGAAGGACUAUGGGGGCGGGCCAUCUAGCCCACGGGGCGGGAAAGAACCUGAGAGAGGAAGUCGGGCGGCCUGAGACCAGGUGACUUGGAGCUCCAGGCCUGCGUGGAGCCUCCUCCUCGUCCCCCGCACCCCUUCCUCCAGCCACACCUGCAAGUGCUGGCAGCCAGGAGACCCUCGCAGAGCAAUGGUCAAGUUUGGGGGCUGGGUGUCCAGCUGCAGAAGUGCAGAGGCGUCCCCUACCCCUACGGGGACGGAAGCUGCUCCCUCCUCCCCAUGAGGGAUCUGAGGACAGUGGACGGGACAGCUCUGUCCUCCGCUGGCCCCCCUCCUGGGCCCUGGAGGACUUUGAUCCGGAGGUGGGUGCAGCCCCUCUGCCAGCCUUGGCAUCGUUUCCACCUUGGCCUCUGACCACCGUUGGCCAGCAGAGGGCGCCCCAACACCCCUUUUG